ensembl:lncRNA
CUUAUGUCGAGAUCACAAGAAAAUUAAGUCAUUAUAAUGAGAAAACAAGAAGGAAAAAAAUAAAUAAUGCAUGGCCGCUUAGAACUUCCGUAGAAUACAGUGACGUCAACCUUGGUUUUGAUAAGCAGUUAUUUUAUGACACGUUGGAACGCAUUGGUGAAACUCAUGCAUCUAGCAAGAACACAAAAUAGUCAUACUGAUUUGAGCAUUUAACAUUUAUGAAUUAAUUAAAUGUCAAUAAUGAACAAUACUGCACAAAUUAUAGCGAUCACGUCCUAUUCUAUCCCAAACGCGUUCAGUAAAGUGGAUAUACAGUAUACAACACCCCAUCAGUUAUAUUCAGGUCUAUAGUGCCACCUGUUGGCGCAGUUUUGUAACUUCUUAGAGAACAACUUUUGCUAUGUCGAGAUAACGAGAAAAAUAAGCUGUUAUAACGAGAAAACAACUUUCGUUAUGUCGAGAUAACAAGAAAAUUUAGUCGUUAUAAUGAGAAAACAAGAAGGAAAAAAAUUAUAAUGCAUGGCUGCUGAGAACUUCUGUACAUUCUAAAUAUCACACCAGUGUAAAAAGGAACCUAUAGAGGAAGAGAUGGGUCUGAAAAAAAACUUUGUGUCUGUGCAGAACUUAUGCUUAUCAUUCUCCUUCUCUGUAGAGCUCCAGUGUUUAUUGCAGUAAAAGAAUACAAGAUAGAUCUUACCCUAAGGAACCGAGAAUCACAGCAGAGAUACAGAAAAAAUGCAACAGCAACAUCAGAGAGAAACAAAACACUACAUAUUAUAAAUAAUAAAAUGGUGAGACAAAAGGAUGCCGUUAACGGAAAUGUGCAGGAUGUAUGAGAUGAUGCUACUGUUGUCACGGUUUAUGAAUUCGCUGUCUCUCUCUCGUCCUGUGUAUGUGUGGGUGUGUGUCUGUGGGCGUGGUCUGUGAUCACUGCUGAUCAGCAGCACCAGCUGCUACCUAUUGUGUGUGCCUUUUUAAGUGCAGUAACUGGUGUCUCAUGUUGUCAGAUCGUUGUGGUUCUCCGGCGUGUUCCCUUCUGUUUCCCGUGCUGUUUGUGGAUUCCUUCUCUGUUCUUCGUCGUGUUACGAUUACGAGCACCGUCACCUGGGAUACAGCACCGGAUCACUGAGGAUCUUCACUGGUUGCCCACCGAAGUCCCUGCGUCACCACCAUCAGAGUUUGUUAUCGUCUCAACCUUCCAUCUGUAUUGUGGAUUUCCUGUGUUGUUUUUUCCGUCUGACCGCUGUUAUUUACCUUGCCAAUAAAGCGCUUUGCUUUUGCAUCCUGCUCCUGUCUUCAUUACAGCUGUAUAACAUACAAAUGACUAGGGUUGGUAAGACUGUGUUUAAUGUUCUUGAAAUAAGUCUCUCAUGCUUACCAAGGAGCAUUUAAAUGAUCAUAAAAAACAGUAAUAUUGUGACGUAUUAUUGCAACCAAAAAGAACUGUUUAUAUAUGUUUUAAUAUAAUCAAUAUUUAAUAUAUUUUAAAAUAUAAUUUAUUCCUGUGAUGUAAUGCGCACGCACACACACACGUAUAUAAACAUAUGACAAAUAAAUAAAGGAAUAUUGCUGGAUUAGUACCA